rnacentral:rRNA from 2 species
UGGCGGCAGUAGCGCGGUGGUCCCACCUGACCCCAUGCCGAACUCAGAAGUGAAACGCCGUAGCGCCGAUGGUAGUGUAGGGUCUCCCCAUGCGAGAGUAGGGAACUGCCAGACA